UACGAAGGGGGCUAGCGUUGUUCGGAAUUACUGGGCGUAAAGCGCGCGCAGGCGGUUCUUCAAGUCAGUGGUGAAAGCCCGGAGCUCAACUCCGGAAUUGCCUUUGAUACUGAGGGUCUUGAGUAUGACAGAGGUGAGUGGAACUGCGAGUGUAGAGGUGAAAUUCGUAGAUAUUCGCAAGAACACCAGUGGCGAAGGCGGCUCACUGGGUCAUUACUGACGCUGAGGCACGAAAGCGUGGGGAGCAAACAGG
rnacentral:rRNA from 1 species